UACGUAGGGUGCAAGCGUUAAUCGGAAUUACUGGGCGUAAAGCGUGCGCAGGCGGUUUUGCAAGUCAGAUGUGAAAUCCCCGGGCUUAACCUGGGAACUGCAUUUGUGACUGCAAGGCUAGAGUGUGUCAGAGGGAGGUGGAAUUCCGCGUGUAGCAGUGAAAUGCGUAGAGAUGCGGAGGAACACCGAUGGCGAAGGCAGCCUCCUGGGAUAACACUGACGCUCAUGCACGAAAGCGUGGGGAGCAAACGGG
rnacentral:rRNA from 1 species